rnacentral:rRNA from 1 species
UGGGGAAUUUUGGACAAUGGGGGAAACCCUGAUCCAGCCAUCCCGCGUGUGCGAUGAAGGCCUUCGGGUUGUAAAGCACUUUUGGCCGGAAAGAAACGUCAUGGGUUAAUACCCCGUGAAACUGACGGUACCUGCAGAAUAAGCACCGGCUAACUACGUGCCAGCAGCCGCGGUAAUACGUAGGGUGCAAGCGUUAAUCGGCAUUACUGGGCGUAAAGCGUGCGCAGGCGGUUCGGAAAGAAAGAUGUGAAAUCCCAGAGCUCAACUUUGGAACUGCAUUUUUAACUCCCGGGCUAGAGUGUGUCAGAGGGAGAUGGAAUUCCGCGUGUAGCAGUGAAAUGCGUAGAUAUGCGGAGGAACACCGAUGGCGAAGGCAGCCUCCUGGGAUAACACUGACGCUCAUGCACGAAAGCGUGGGGAGCAAACAGG